AAGCGGACCUCAUAAAGUGCGUCGUAGUCCGGAUUGGAGUCUGCAACUCGACUCCAUGAAGUCGGAAUCGCUAGUAAUCGUGGAUCAGAAUGCCACGGUGAAUACGUUCCCGGGCCUUGUACACACCGCCCGUCACACCAUGGGAGUGGGUUGCAAAAGAAGUAGGUAGCUUAACCUUCGGGAGGGCGCUUACCACUUUGUGAUUCAUGACUGGGGUGAAGUCGUAACAAGGUAACCGUAGGGGAACCUGCGGUUGGAUCACCUCCUUACCUUAAAGAAGC
rnacentral:rRNA from 7 species